CCAUUUCCGCCUUAAUCCUGGACUCUAGUCAUUCCCGGGAGGACAACGGACUCAUUUAAAAAUGAGCCCAGGGACCCUGUAUCUGGGCCUUCCACUCCAGCUGCCCUGCCUUGCCCUCAGGCCCUAGAAAGGUAGGAAGAGAGGGAGGGGUGGACAAGUGUCCGGCUGCAGCUGGCUUGGAAGCUGUCUCGGUUCCUGGUUCCCACCUGAGCCAAGAGUGACACCUGAUCCCGGGGGAUUGUGAAAUGGCUUGAGGUGGCAGGGCGCCCGCACUGCCCGCUGUGCUUCCUACCCGCCUCCUGCACCCCUCACUCGGCCCCGCCCCCCGGCGCGAGUGGUUAAAUCCCCCCCAUUCAGGCUGCAGGUUACACCUGCACCAUGCCUGCUUGUCGCCUCUGCUUGCUGGCCACAGGCCUCCUACUCGGGCUGCUGCUGUUCACCCCCCUCUCAGCCACAGGCACCAGAGCAGAGAAACCCGGUGUGUGCCCCCAGCUCGAACCAAUUACUGACUGUGUGAAGGCGUGCAUCUUGGACAACGACUGCCAGGACAACUACAAGUGCUGCCAGGCCGGCUGCGGCUCUGUCUGCUCCAAGCCUAAUGGGCUGAGCGAAGGAAAACUCUCCAGGACCGCGACGGGUACAACGACUCUAUCAGCCGGCCUUGCCCGCACAUCUCCUCUAUCGAGAGGUCAAGUGUCCACGAAGCCACCCGUUGUGACCAAAGAAGGAGGUAACGGAGAAAAGCAGGGCACCUGCCCCAGCGUGGACUUCCCCAAGCUUGGCCUCUGUGAGGACCAGUGCCAGAUGGACAGCCAGUGUUCUGGCAACAUGAAAUGCUGCCGAAAUGGCUGUGGGAAGAUGGGCUGCACCACACCCAAAUUCUGAGAUGUGGCUUUGGAGAUUCGGAGUCUUUAAUGGAUCUGUGUGAGUUUUAGGAAGCUUUUCCUUUUUUCAGUUAAAGUGUUUUUAUGGUGUGGAAUGUAGAGGUGGUUGAAAGUAGUGUGGACACUUUGGCCAUGAAUUCUUUUUUUUUUUUUUUUCUUUUUUUGGGAGCUGGGGACCGAACCCAGGGCCUUGCGCUUGCUAGGCAAGUGCUCUACCGGUGAGCUAAGUCCCCAACCCCGAAUUCUUUUUAUUUAUGAACCUAGGAUAUUUUUCAUCUAGAUGGUUUUUGUUUUAUGAAUUUCCUUAAUCAAUACUUCAUGACUUUUGGUACAUACAUAUUUUACCUUUUGGAUAAUUUGAAGAACUUCGUUUUUUUUUUCUGUUACUUAUGGAAAUAUGAUUGUUUUCUAGAUUUCCAUUUUGUGUGUAACUUUAUUAGUAUGUGAAUAACGACAGACUUUUAGAUAUUUAAUUUUUAACCGUAAACUUUAAUGAAUAUACUAUUUCUGACUCUGUGUGUAUGUGUAAUCCUUAUAGCUUGCCUCUAUAUAACAUGCAAAUAUGUAUACAGAGGGAUAUGAACAUAUGUGAACAUCUGCAUACAGGUAUGAAGUGGCAAUCAGAAGACACGGUUGCAUUGAGCCCAGCACUCACGCUUUUUCUGGUUUCCCUGUUUGCCAGAGGAUGUGGAAAGGAUCCCAUCCCCCUUCCACUGGCUGAACGAUCUGUUUCCUAGGGUGACUGGAGCCGAGCGUUAUCCUUGAAAUACACAGGACAAUGGACAGUUGUGUACAUAGAGAACUGUGAGCUGAUAUGAACACCUGCAGACAGCAGAUGAGAUAUUCAGACUCUGAGACAUCAGGACUCACAGGAUCCUUUACUAGGAGGAAGUAGAGUCUACACAGGAAUAAAUUUGAACCCUGAAAGUUGAGGUGAUAGGGUCCCAGACGGAGAGGGGGUCAAAGGUCGAAGAUCAUGAUGUCUGAGGAGCAGCUGGGUUUGUGGGAAGGGAAUAAGCAGAUUCUGGGGUUCUGGUUUGGGAACAGCCAAAGUCUCAGUGGCUAAGACUUGGCCGCUGGCAGCCAAUCCAGAGCAUGUGCUGGGCUCACGGGAAGAAAGCCUCAGAUUAGGAGCCAAGACCUGGAGUUUCUUCCAGCUCAUCCUUGUCAUAUCCAGGAAGACAUUUCUGCAAGACACAAGGACAAGGAUGGACACGCUCGGCUCCAGUCACCCUAGGAAACAGAUCGUUCAGCCAGUGGAAGGGGGAUGGGUUCCUUUCCACAUCCUCUGGCAAACAGGGAAACCAGAAAAAGUGUGAGUGCUGGGCUCAAUGCAACCAUGUCUUCUGAUUGCCACUUCAUACCUGUUGUUUCAGUGAGGUGACCACAACAGGCCUCAUGUCCUCCUCUGGAUUGGGCUGGGCUGGGCGCCCCCUACUCCUGUUAACUUCACACUCUCAUGACUCACCUCAGACUUCCAGGUCCUCUCUGCCGACUGCUUCCCUGCUAUUCUCUCCACCUCAGGUCCUUCCGUUCCCACUCCCAGGACUGCCCAGGUCUUGGAAAGGACCAAUGCUCAAAUCUCUGUUUGGAAUUGGUGAACAUGGCUGCUGGGGGAUCUUUAGCACUUACGUUUCUUUUUGCAGACAACUGUGCAGAUACCUUCAGAUUGGAAGUUGUUGGGGUUCCCUUGGCAACCACCAUAGAUGAAUUGGGUACAGAGGCCAGUAUCUUCAUUAUACCACCAGCGUGGGAGGUAGGCCAGGCAGGGGCCAGCAUCCUGUGGCAGACUGCAUAUGUCUGUGGGGAAAUCAUAGGAGACAGAUACUUGGAAGCCUGUGUCCCGAGGGGACAACCCCGCCCCCUUCUGUCCAUUGCUCUUUUUGUCUAGCUCAGAGCUGUGCUCCCACUUCAGUGAGAACUGUGACCAGUCACUGGAAUCUCUUUGGUCUCAGUUUUCUCAUCUGCAGGAUGGUAACACAACUUGCCACCUUGCUUGUUGGGACACGAGGCCUGGAGAGGUGAGGUGGCUCUCCUGAUGUCACAUAGCUGGCGAGGGAGUUAAAUGUAGGUGACCCAGUAGGUGUGCUAGUACGCACUUAGAAUACCAGAUAGCAGGAGGCUGAGGCAGGAGAAUGUCAAAGUUGAGAUCAGCCUCGUCUCCCAGUGAUUCCCUCAUUCAACAACCAGAACCCAAGCAGACCAGAGCCAGGGGUUGGAUCACGGGGAGCAUCAAGGCCCUCCCAGCUCCCUCCUCCAUCCAGCCUCACCUACUCCACUUGGCAGCAUUUCCAGGCCUGAUCAUGGCCCCAUAUCCCAGGGCCUUCCCAUGAGCACUUGUGGGUGUCUGUCAAGCUACUGCUUUGGUAUCUGCGUGCAAACCACCCUCAGUUCCCAAGGCCUGUGUGCCUCUCCCAGGAGAAGCUUUCCUGCCCACAGUGAGUGGGCGGCGCCUUUCAGGGCGAUAUGAGCACCCCAAAUACUUGUUGACUGGUAAAAUUGGGUGGAUAAUUUUGAUGGUCUUUUGUAGGACUCAAGGAUGUGACAGAGAGAACAAAGUACAGGAGGCCAGAGGUUAUCAGAGAGGACAGAGGCCUGGACAAACAAACCAGGAGACACCACACACCUGCCCCAUGCUACACCCACACCUGCCCCAUGCUACACCCACACCUGCCCCAUGCUACACCCACACCUGCCCCAUGCUACACCUAUACCUGCCCCAUGUUACACCCACACCUGCCCCAUGUUACACACACACCUGCCCCGUGAUACACCCACACCUGCCCCAUGUUACACACACACCUGCCCCAUGUUACACCCACACCUGCCCCAUGCUACACCCACACCUGCCCCAUGCUACACCCACACCUGCCCCAUGUUACAUCCCCACCCGCCUCAGGGUAUCCUACAGCCAGACACACUAAUCGUGUUUGAUGAGUCUUUCAUAGCUUCUUGGCAUCUCAGAGCAGCACCACAGAUCAGCUCAAUGGAUCAAAUGACCCAGCACCUCCAUCCAUGUUAAGAUGGGAAAAUGAGGUUCAGAGAGGAAACACCACCAGUCCCACCGUUUGCUGAACGAGAGGAAAACCCUUACAGCACAGAUAAAACGAGUCUCUGUUCAGCACCUACAAGAUUUGCAUCAAGUAGACAAUGCCAGGAACAUACUUGAGAAACACUAGAUUUGUCGCUCAGGAGAGGAGCGGGACAAUGUGAGAGCAGGAGGGCGGGUGGAGCUGUCACAGGACCAGAGAGGUACCUUCCCGGAGGUCCAUGCACUUCUUCCCACAGCUGAAGAAGCAGCAUCUCUUCUUGUCCGGACACUGUCGGUGCCUCGUACACUCAUUUCUUUCUUCAACCUCACACUUCACUCUUACUCUCGGACAUGAUCCUAUAGGGGGAGGAGGAAGAGGAGGAAGAGGAGGAGAUGUGGUCCUGUGAGGUGUUGAAGGGGAUACUGUUCUUCCUUCCCAGUCCCAGGGCACCGCUGCAGAGUUCAGAAAGCCUGUUUGUCCCUCACCUGUCACUAGGAGAAGGCAAUCCUCAGCAGUUCAGGGUUUCACAACACUGGCCACAUCUCCAACCGUAAUGACUCUGGCAUCUAAUUUCUAGUAACUUCUCUAUCCCUCUCUCCACAACCUGUAAGAUUCUCCGGAGGGACCCGCCCCUUUCGGAUCGUUCUGAGCGUUUCGUUUUGUCCUUGGUUGGUCCUUGUAGCUCUCAGUGUUUGCCUACAUUGUUGUCUUGUAGGCUAAUGUGACAAAAUCUGAAAGGCCUUGGUCAGUGAUUCAUGCUGAGGAAGUACUUCCAGGAAACAGUGAGUCAUACUGAGAAAGUGCUUCCGGGGCACAGCGAUUCAUACUGAGGAAGUACUUCCGGGGCACAGUGAUUCAUACUGAGAAGGUGCUUCCGGGGCUUUUGGCCGCUCUCCUCACUCCUCAGUACACAAUUAUGAGUGGGCCUGGUCAGUGUUGCCCGCACAGAACAGAGGCCCCAGAGCAUGGGGAGGCUCCAUGGACUCAUGCAGAGUCACACAACUCCUGAAGAGUGGACCCAGAAUUUGCACCUGUCACGUGACCUCCUAAGCACCCACUUUCUGCUGCUGCCUUCUAGUGCUCAGAAUCUCCAUGCUCCAUCACCCUGAGGGACUCCUGCUCUUUAGCACACAGGGAAGGGGAGCCAACCACCGCAGACCGAGGACCUGUGUUCAGCCAGGCCAUCUUUCCAGGAUAUGGAGAAACCCUGACUCCAAACAUCACCCCACCCAGGCUCCCGGGCAAGCUUCACUUUCUAGGAGGUCCUGUCUCCCCUCCUGAUCAAAUGGAGUCCUGUCAGGUCUGAGAAAGACACAGCUGCCUUGGGACAGGCCAACCCACACCAAUGCUUCCCCCGAACAGUGCUUGCCCAGACAGCUUUGGCAUUCUGGCAUAUACUUUGGGACUGGAAGUUGUUAUUGUUUCCCUGGCAACCACCAUAGAUGAAGAGUUGGCACGUGCCGUUUUUCUUAUUAUACCACCAACGAGGGAAGUAAGCCAUGCAGUAGCCAGAGUCUUUUGGUAGGCUGCAAAUAUCUGCGGAGGAACCCCAGAGUUGAGAGCUCAAGAGUGCACAACCCGAAACAAAAUAAUGAGAGCCACCUUCCCCUUCUCCUUCCCCUUGGAGCAAACUCUUUCUCCCCCUCCCGCUCCAGUGGUUCAACACCUGAAACAUUUCGUGUACUUGUGGAAGAUGCUACGGAGGAUAUCCGCGUCCCUGGAGGUAGGCAUCCUUGUGGAUGGUUAUGGUCUGAACAUGAAAUGUCCCCUCACAGGCUUACAUUCCGAAGACUUGUCACCAGCUGGGGGUGACAUUUUUGGAGGCUGUGGGACCUGUUAGGAGGCGGAGCCUGGGGUUGGGGAUUUAGCUCAGCGGUAGAGUGCUUACCUAGCUAGCGCAAGGCCCUGGGUUCGGUCCCCAGCUCCGGGUCCCCAGCUCCGAGAAAAAAAAAAAAAAAAGGAGGCGGAGCCUGGCUGGAGGAAGGAUGUCAAUGGGAGAGGACUCUUUAAGGUUAUAGCAUAACUCUGGUUCCUGGACUGAAGCGGUUUUAGGAGUUCCCAUCACAUGUCUGACACCAUGAACUCCGCCAUGCUGUUUUCAUGGUGGGAUACAGAGGCUUCUUAAAACCGCAGGCCAUAAGAAACCUUUAGUAUGCAUGUUGUUUCUCUUGAGUAUCUAACACACAGGGGACACUCGCUUUUAGGUUUUAGGGUACUAAGAAUGGACUGGGGGCCUCAGGCCUGCUAGGCAAGCACUCUGUUAUUGAGCUGUAUCUUCAGUCUGUAAAUGCAGUCAGUUAAGGUGGUUGCAUGUGGGAGCCUCUAAUCCAAUACGGCUGAUGCUCUGACAAAGGAGUAAAUGUGUAUCUAUCUCCCUGAGAUACCCACACAGGGAAGAUGCCGUGUGGACUUGAAGGCAGAGAUCAGAACAAUGUAUCUACAAGCCAAGGAAUGCCAAAGAUUGCCAGCAAUCUACCCAGUAUUAAUACAGAGCUGUAUAAUAAAGUUCUCACUCAUGAGCCAGAGAGAUGGCUCAACAGAUAAAGACACUGUGUAACCCCGAUGACCUGAGUUCAAUUCCCAGAGACCACGUAAAGGUGGAAGAAGAGAACUGGAGUCUUCAGAGUUGUCCUCUAACCUCCCUCUCCUUCCCUCCCUCCCUGCCCCUCCCCCCACACACACUGGGCCUCACUGGCACCCUAACCUCAUCCUUUUAGCCUACAAAGCUGUCAGACAACACAUUGCUGUCCCUCUAUUGGAGUGACACUCACAAACCCACACAGUCUCCAGCUAGCCAAGCUCCAUGACCGUCAGUCUCCACAGUGUCAGUGGCUUCCCCCUCCUCACACUCAUCUCUCCACCAGGCUCUUGGAGCCUGAGUUUCACACCCAGGUUAUUGAGGCAGCCUCCAGUUCUUCCUUCUGCCUUCAUCCCUAGCACCUCCCACCAAAUCAGUCAUUGAUCCACCAGGGAGGAGGACAUAAUGGAUCUGAAAAUGAGGCAGUUGUGUCGUUCCAUACAUAAGACCUCGGCGUCAUCACAAGCUCCUUCCCUGUCUGGCUCCUAUGCCUGGCCCUGGCCUCUUUUGCCAUGAGAUCUCUUUAAGCCCCACACUGUAGCGAUUUUCAGUUCAGCACAGCAGGCUCCCCGGCACCUCCAGACCUCUGCGCAUCCACACGCACCAUCGAGUGCUAGCAGGAUGUUUAUUCUUCCUUCAAAAGCUUUCUCAAAAAUCAGUUCCUCUGGGGCUGGACAGAUGGCUCAGUGGUUAAGAGCACCGACUGCUCUUCCAGAAGUCCUGAGUUCAAAUCCCACACAGUAGCUCACAACCAUCUGUAAUGAGGUCUGAUGCCCUCUUCUGGUGUGUCUGAAGACAGCUACAGUGUACUCAUAUAUAAUAAAUAAAUAAAUACAUCUUUAAAAAAAA